UACGGAGGGUGCGAGCGUUGUCCGGAAUCAUUGGGCGUAAAGGGCGCGUAGGCGGCCUGAUAAGUAGGGGGUGAAAUCUUGCGGCUCAACCGCAAGGCUGCCUUCUAAACUGUCAGGCUGGAGCACGGUAGAGGCAGAUGGAAUUCCCGGUGUAGCGGUGGAAUGCGUAGAGAUCGGGAAGAACACCAGUGGCGAAGGCGGUCUGCUGGGCCGUUGCUGACGCUGAGGCGCGACAGCGUGGGGAGCAAACAGG
rnacentral:rRNA from 1 species